rnacentral:rRNA from 1 species
UACGUAGGGCGCAAGCGUUGUCCGGAAUUAUUGGGCGUAAAGAGCUCGUAGGCGGUUUGUCACGUCUGCUGUGAAAACUGGAGGCUCAACCUCCAGCUUGCAGUGGGUACGGGCAGACUAGAGUGCGGUAGGGGAGAUUGGAAUUCCUGGUGUAGCGGUGGAAUGCGCAGAUACUGAGGAGACACCGAUGGCGAAGGCAGAUCUCUGGGCCGUAACUGACGCUGAGGAGCGAAAGCGUGGGGAGCGAACAGG